rnacentral:rRNA from 1 species
UACAGAGGUCUCAAGCGUUGUCCGGAAUUAUUGGGCGUAAAGAGCUCGUAGGCGGUUUGUCGCGUCGGGAGUGAAAACACCGGGCUUAACUCGGUGCUUGCUUUCGAUACGGGCAGACUAGAGGCAUGCAGGGGAGAACGGAAUUCCUGGUGUAGCGGUGAAAUGCGCAGAUAUCAGGAGGAACACCGGUGGCGAAGGCGGUUCUCUGGGCAUGUCCUGACGCUGAGGAGCGAAAGUGUGGGGAGCGAACAGG